UUUCUAUCCCUGUUUUGCACUUUACUUUACCUAGUUGUAGAUCUGAGCCGCCGGAGCUCCACCUUCUUCCUCCUCUCCGGCUAUGGCCAAGUCAUGAUCCACCGGGGUCCUGACACCUUUGCCCUACACCCCAUCUUUCGAUGGCCGUCCUUGCAGCUGGCUGACCACGUCGGCGCGAUGGAUCUCUCCUUCAACACGCGCCGUCGGCCACUCGAUGCAGGGCGGCGCGGUCAGAUUAGCCGGAGAAUUAGGUGGAGGGAGAGAGGUGAGGAGAAUACAUCAACAUCAUGUGGCAGUGCAACGCAACCAUGGUGGCCAUUACCGUUCAUGACCGGCCGUGCCGGGCGCUGCUUGGGGAGAGAUGCGGGCGUCGAGCGCGUCCCAUGGAGAUGAUGCCAAGAUUUUCAAGGGAGAUAUGCACAUCCCCAUAUGGUUUUCGUCAGCUGCACAAGAUCUUCUUGAUAAGAUUCUUGAACCAAGUCCAAUGAAGAGGACACAGGUAGGUGUACCUCAACCAGCGGAAGCAAUAGCGGCCAAGGCUCCAUCGCUUUUCCCAAUAGGUCCUAGGCUGACACAUUGCUCCUGCUCCUCCGGCGAGAUUGUACCAGCUAUGGCGAGUACAUGUCGCCCCAUCUCUAUCUCUGUAUUUAUUUCUUCCUUCACUCUUUGUUGGCGUUUGUUAUACGCAGCUCAUAUGGUUCAUCUUCAAAUCUGGCAUGCACUAUAUAGGUUGUUCUAUAUGAUCUACUAGAUUGUUUGAUCUUGAGAUGAAGUGAGUUCCAUAUGUAGUAUGUUUUUUGGUGAAUCUGACAUUUUGUUCAUAAUUACGGCAUCUUCUAUUUUUUCCUUAUCUGAGCAAAUCAUUGUAUGACUUGAUGAUGUUUCAGGUGUUAAUCCUACAAUUAAAUGACCAUCAUCUUAGUGUAAAUUGCAUGGACAUUCUUGAUCUUGUUUUACUGUGCUCCGGUUGGCUGUAAAAGAGUGAGUUGCCAUUUCACAUCAAACCAGAAUUUAAUCUGUCACUACAUUUGUUUUCUCACGAUGUUGUGUUCUUUAAUUUUAUAGGAAACAUUCCAGUAGAACACACCUUAGUAUUGUGAUUUCUUACCAUCUUUAUAUU